AUUAAUGGAAACGCAGAACUAAUUAAUGUAGAGACCUCUGGAAAAUAUAAAUCAUCAAUUAUGUAUAGUUGGCAUUGUUGGUUACCUACUUAUCAUUUAGUUUGGAGCUGAUGCAUGAUGCCAAAUUUAUUUAGUACAUGGUUAUAGCUUGCAUAAUCUGCGAUGUUGUUUAAUAAACUCAUGUUGAAAACGUUCUUAUAUUUAGAUUAUUAUUAGCCCCACAUCUAUAUCUAUAUCAAAGUCUUCUUAAAUCACAUUUGUGAGCAUUUAUCACACUAUUAGGUACAUCCAAGUUUAGCCUGGUGUGAAUUAUUUUCUUUGAACAUAAAGUAUUUUUGAAUUGUGGAAACCUUGCAGCUAUUUGUAUUUUCUGGAAAGCUGUAGAUCUUUCUUUGAAAAUGAAGGAUCUGUGGUAUGUCAGCACAUGUUUUUCUCCAAAGGAGGUAGCUCAUUCCUUACAUAGUAUGUUCAUUUUAAGGUUUAACUCAAUUGACAUACAACAGAUUUGUUCAUAAGAAAGCAAUGAUCAAAAGUUUUUGUCAGAUAUUGUAUGUUACUCUCCUUUUCUUCGUACAAAGCUGCUGAUGUCAUGGCUUUCAACCUUUGUAUGGUGCUCCUCUACAUUUUGUUGCUCUAUUAACCUGACGUUCUCUACCAUAAGUUACUCAUGUCAUUUUUCGUUUCUGUAGAUUGCCAAGAUAAAUGGAUGAUGCAUGACUCGGAUGUUGAUUGCAAGGCCAAGAAUAGGGUUACUAUUAGAUAAUUAGAAUGUCAUUUUCGCGAUCAAUGUUUCAAACAUUGUAGUAGAUUGCAAGGUCGAGAAUCAGGAUACAACUUGUAAUCUUUGGAUCAUGUUCUAUGUAACGCUACAUAGUCGGAUUAAUAUAUGAGAAAGGUUUAUUAUAUUGUGGCUCCUAUACAGUAUGGAUG
rnacentral:lncRNA from 1 species